UUAGAUACUAUUUAGAUAUACGAA
rnacentral:snRNA from 1 species